UAAUAAGAAAUAAAAUUUAUAAUUAGUUUCGACCUAAUCUUAGAAGAUUCCCCCUUUUCUUCCUUAUUUU
rnacentral:tRNA from 1 species